GAACUAACGCUGGCGGCGUGCCUAACACAUGCAAGUCGUACGAGAAAGUCGGCUUCGGCUGAUGAGUAAAGUGGCGCACGGGUGAGUAACGCGUGGAUAAUCUGCCCCUGAGUUCGGAAUAACGUACCGAAAGGUGCGCUAAUACCGGAUAAUGCUGAGAGACUACUGUCGCUUAGCCAAAGAAGGCCUCUGUUUACAUGCUUUUGCUUUGGGAUGAGUUCGCGUACCAUUAGCUAGUUGGUAGGGUAAUGGCCUACCAAGGCGACGAUGGUUAGCUGGUCUGAGAGGAUGAUCAGCCACACUGGAACUGAGACACGGUCCAGACUCCUACGGGAGGCAGCAGUGAGGAAUAUUGCGCAAUGGGGGCAACCCUGACGCAGCAACGCCGCGUGAGUGAGGAAGGUUUUCGGACCGUAAAGCUCUGUCGAGCGGGAAGAAAUGCAUGGUGGCUAAUAUCCAUCAUGCUUGACGGUACCGCUAGAGGAAGCACCGGCUAACUCCGUGCCAGCAGCCGCGGUAAUACGGGGGGUGCAAGCGUUGUUCGGAAUUAUUGGGCGUAAAGAGCGUGUAGGCGGCUGAAUAAGUCAGAUGUGAAAUCCCUGGGCUUAACCCAGGACGUGCAUUUGAAACUAUUCAGCUUGAGUAAGGGAGAGGAAAGUGGAAUUCCUGGUGUAGAGGUGAAAUUCGUAGAUAUCAGGAGGAACACCGGUGGCGAAGGCGACUUUCUGGCCCUAUACUGACGCUGAGACGCGAGAGCGUGGGUAGCAAACA
rnacentral:rRNA from 1 species